rnacentral:lncRNA from 1 species
AGGCAACAAAACUGUCUUCAGGAACCACUCAGAGCUCUGCACUAUGCCCGCUGGUGUGGAGGAGUGAAUGAGGACUGAGUCAUGGAUCCUAAGGACAAGGGAUUACUUUAUAUGGAGGAAACUAGAUAUGCAUCCAGGAUGGAUAUGUGACUAUGUGACAAAAUGAGUUAAUUAUCAAGCAGGUCCAAGAAAGGUGCACUAGGAGAACUGAUGCA